GACGAACGCUGGCGGCGUGCUUAACACAUGCAAGUCGAACGGAAAGUCCCUUCUUUUGUGGGGUGCUCGAGUGUCGAACGUGUGAGUCACACGUUAGUAACCUGCCCUUGACUUUGGGAUAACUUCAGUACACUGUGGCUAAUACCGGAUAGGAGCUCCUGCUGCAUGGUGGGGGUUGGAAAGUUUCGGCGGUUGGGGAUGGACUCGCGGCUUAUCAGCUUGUUGGUGGGGUAGUGGCUUACCAAGGCUUUGACGGGUAGCCGGCCUGAGAGGGUGACCGGCAACAAUGGGAGGGAGAUAAGGCCGAGAAGCCUACGGGAGGAAGCAGUGGGGAAGAAUGCACAAUGAGCGGAAGAAGGAUGCAGGAACGACGCGUGGGGGAGGAAGGAGGUCGGGUGGUAAACAGCUUUCGCCUGUGAAGAAGAGAGAGUGACGGUAAUGGGUAAAGAAGCACCGGCUAACUACGUG
rnacentral:rRNA from 1 species